rnacentral:rRNA from 1 species
ACACGACUACAUUAGAUACCCGCGUAGUCCCAGCCCUAAACGAUGCGCGUUAGGUGUAUCGGUGACCACGAGUCACCGAGGUGCCGAAGGGAAACCGUGAAACGUGCCGCCUGGGAAGUACGGUCGCAAGGCUGAAACUUAAAGGAAUUGCGGGGGAGCACCACAACGGGUGGAGCCUGCGGUUUAACUGGACUCAACGCCGGGAAGCUCACCGGAUAAGACAGCGGAAUGAUUGCCGGGCUGAAGACCCUGCAUGACCAGCUG